rnacentral:rRNA from 1 species
ACGUGGGUAACCUGCCUGUAAGACUGGGAUAACUCCGGGAAACCGGAGCUAAUACCGGAUAGUUCCUUGAACCGCAUGGUUCAAGGAUGAAAGACGGUUUCGGCUGUCACUUACAGAUGGACCCGCGGCGCAUUAGCUAGUUGGUGGGGUAAUGGCUCACCAAGGCGACGAUGCGUAGCCGACCUGAGAGGGUGAUCGGCCACACUGGGACUGAGACACGGCCCAGACUCCUACGGGAGGCAGCAGUAGGGAAUCUUCCGCAAUGGACGAAAGUCUGACGGAGCAACGCCGCGUGAGUGAUGAAGGUUUUCGGAUCGUAAAGCUCUGUUGUUAGGGAAGAACAAGUGCGAGAGUAACUGCUCGCACCUUGACGGUACCUAACCAGAAAGCCACGGCUAACUACGUGCCAGCAGCCGCGGUAAUACGUAGGUGGCAAGCGUUGUCCGGAAUUAUUGGGCGUAAAGGGCUCGCAGGCGGUUUCUUAAGUCUGAUGUGAAAGCCCCCGGCUCAACCGGGGAGGGUCAUUGGAAACUGGGAAACUUGAGUGCAGAAGAGGAGAGUGGAAUUCCACGUGUAGCGGUGAAAUGCGUAGAGAUGUGGAGGAACACCAGUGGCGAAGGCGACUCUCUGGUCUGUAACU